rnacentral:rRNA from 1 species
GUGCCAGCCGCCGCGGUAAGACGAACCGUCCUAACGUUGUUCGGAAUCACUGGGCUUAAAGGGCGCGUAGGCGGGCAGUCAAGUCCGGGGUGAAAUCUUUCGGCUUAACCGGAAAAGGGCCUUGGAUACUGACUGUCUUGAGGGAGGUAGGGGUCCGCGGAACUGUGGGUGGAGCGGUGAAAUGCGUUGAUAUCCACAGGAACGCCGGUGGCGAAAGCGGCGGACUGGAUCUCUUCUGACGCUGAGGCGCGAAAGCCAGGGGAGCAAACGGGAUUAGAAACCCCUGUAGUCC